GCAUCGCCAACUCUCUAUCGGCCUUGACAUCGACACCACCCAAGUGCCAGAUCAUUGUUUCACACCACCUCCCCCUAUGUGCAACCUCCAACCCCACCGCUCCCUUCAUUUGGUCCUUCUCCUAUGAUCCCAGCAUCCUCAUCCUUCAGCUCCACUCCAGCCUCCUCAUCGAUGGUGAGAUCUUUCAUGUACCCUUGUGGCCUCUCUGACAGCCUCGACCCUACCCACCAUAAUGCCAUCGCCGCCCAA
rnacentral:lncRNA from 1 species